UCUAGCUAAGCAUUUGGGCUAUUUUCCUUGCUCGUGGCUAGCUUUAUCGCACAGAUCUGGAAAGUUAACUCAAUUCCCUCAAAGAUCCACCAAAACCCCAUAGUCUACAAUACAAUACACAGCUCUAGUGCUUAGAAUUUCUUAUCUGAUGUUAUUCCUGCGAAAAAUUUAGCUAGCAAAUGGAUUCUUCGUUACCUUUCCUCGCCCCUACAAUCUAGCAUGUCUUUGAUUUUUGGGUUCGACAACUGUAUUCUUCUCUGGCGGAUCUAGUCUCAGUACGGCACUGAUCCAAUGUUGAGGUUAAAUCUGUUUUUUCGUGUUAUACAUACUGAGUAAGACUACCUAUAGUGUAUGAGUGCACAGAAGCUUCAGUGUCCAAGUCAAACAUAAAGUCUGUAUAAUACCAAUGCUGUUUUCUUGCCCUAGGGUUGCAGUUUCCACUUCCUGAUAGGUAUGUCGUAUGCUUGUGUUCAUUGGAGAAAUCCGAGUGGCAAGAAUGAGCAUUGUUCUUCAGUAUACGCAGGGCUUCAAUCUUGGCAGAGUUUGUAUUGAAUAUUGAGACUUGUUAGUGUUUGUAUUGAAGAGAAUGUGAAGUAUAUAUAGGACUUUAGAUCUGAUUUCUGCCCUUUCGUUUACUAACAAAAGGUUUCAAACGAUUAGUUGCAAUUAAUUAUCUUGGAAAAAAGAAUCCGGCUAAUGGGUUUAAUUAUGUAAA